rnacentral:rRNA from 1 species
CCUACGGGUGGCUGCAGUCGAGAAUCAUUCACAAUGGGGGAAACCCUGAUGGAGCGACGCCGCGUGGGGGAAUGAAGGUCUUCGGAUUGUAAACCCCUGUCAUGUGGGAGCAAAUUAAAAAGAUAGUACCACAAGAGGAAGAGACGGCUAACUCUGUGCCAGCAGCCGCGGUAAUACAGAGGUCUAAAGCGUUGUUCGGAAUCACUGGGCGUAAAGCGUGCGUAGGCUGUUUCGUAAGUCGUGUGUGAAAGGCGCGGGCUCAACCCGCGGACGGCACAUGAUACUGCGAGACUAGAGUAAGGGAGGGGGAACCGGAAUUCGCGGUGUAGCAGUGAAAUGCGUAGAUAUCGAGAGGAACACUCGUGGCGAAGGCGGGUUCCUGGACAUUAACUGACGCUGAGGCACGAAGGCCAGGGGAGCGAAAGGGAUUAGAUACCCGGGUAGUC